GAUUUCUUCCUUUUUCCAAAAAAUGAAAUGCGUGCAGAUCUCGAGCUAUCUGCAGUGUAAAACCAUAAAUUAUUGAGUGGUGAAUGCAAUGCAGGAGAAGUGCCUGUGCGGUAGAACUGCAUUUGUCUCACCGUUCCAUUCAAACAUCUAAAUUGAUUAACUCUCGUUCUCUCCGCCACUCUCUCUCUCUCUCUCUGGACAAACACGAGACCAAAAUUGAAUCACUUCUUCUCUCGGUGAAAUCAACACUGAAACUGGCCAUAAUCGAAUCUCCUUUGGCUACCCCUUCUUCUCCCUCCGACAUUGGUCUCACUUGAAGGUAAACUCGACAUUGUUUCUUCCUAUUUCUUCUUUGUUUUCGGUUUCGUUCUUUGCUUCUAUGGAGUAAUCUGAAGCUUUACCUUCUCUAUUGGUUUUUCUGGAGUAAUCGACGAGCACACACAUGUCAGUAGAUGUGAAAGCUCAAUUGUCUUCAAUUGAUAAUUCUCUUUCAGGUGAUCAGAACUCUGAUCUAGUCUCUCGGAGAAGGAAAGGGCAGGGUAGAACACUGUAGGCCCCUAAAUCAAUACGACAAUACCCCAUAUCUACCAAGCAUUUUAUGCCUGCUCAGAUUGAUAAACCUGUCUGGGCUAUUGAUGACUCCCAAAAUCGAACCAAAUAGUGAGCUCCAAGAUACUGUUGACUUUAGUGAUGAUUUCAUACAUUUAGCUUCUGCUCACUCAGUCUCUUGAAUCUGGAGCUAUUGUUUCAAAUAUUAUAAAAACGUCUGAGCAAAUUAAGAGAAUGCGUGAGACUUGUAAAGUUAGUAUUAUUUGGAUGCCACGGAGACAAGUGUUGAAGUUUUUACGGCGAGGCUUCCUUCAUCACCAGACGCAUACCCUUAGCUUAACAAGUGAUUUAAGUGUAUGGUUUUAUUUGUUUUACUCUUUGUCAUUUUUUGGGGGUCAAUAGCCAUUGAAGACCAUUUGUUGUUGUUACCUUUUUGUCUUUGUUUAUGUAACUUGAUUUAGAAACAAGAAUGCUUAAUUUUAUUGUUUUUGAUAUUGGUGUAUGGGAACGAGAAUGCUUAGUCUUAUGUUGAUGAAUUUCUUCUUA